UGGGGAAUAUUGCACAAUGGAGGGAACUCUGAUGCAGCGACGCCGCGUGAACGAAGAAGGCUUUCGAGUCGUAAAGUUCUUUUAUAUGGGAAGAUAAUGACGGUACCAUAAGAAAAAGCCCCGGCUAACUACGUGCCAGCAGCCGCGGAAAUACGUAGGGGGCUAGCGUUGUCCGGAAUCACUGGGCAAAAAGGGUUCGCAGGCGGAAAUGCAAGUCAGGUGUAAAAGGCAGUAGCUUAACUACUGUAAGCAUUUGAAACUGCAUAUCUUGAGAAGAGUAGAGGUAAGUGGAAUUUUUAGUGUAGCGGUGAAAUGCGUAGAUAUUAAAAAGAAUACCGGUGGCGAAGGCGACUUACUGGGCUCAUUCUGACGCUGAGGAACGAAAGCGUGGGUAGCAAACAGG
rnacentral:rRNA from 1 species